ensembl:miRNA
CUCGGGAGCUGGGGGACGGGAUGGGACUGCCUUGUUUGUCUUGCCGUAGGUGCUGUGGCCCUGGCUUCAGCCGGUCUCUUAAACAGGAGUCUUUAUAGUCAGACCUCCGGUCCUC